CGGUGUAAGCUGUCACUUAUAGAUGGGCCCGCGGCGCAUUAGCUAGUUGGGUGAGGUAACGGCUCACCAAGGCGACGAUGCGUAGCCGACCUGAGAGGGUGAUCGGCCACACUGGGACUGAGACACGGCCCAGACUCCUACGGGAGGCAGCAGUAGGGAAUCUUCCGCAAUGGACGAAAGUCUGACGGAGCAACGCCGCGUGAACGAUGAAGGCCUUCGGGUCGUAAAGUUCUGUUGUUAGGGAAGAACAAGUAUCGGAGUAACUGCCGGUACCUUGACGGUACCUAACCAGAAAGCCACGGCUAACUACGUG
rnacentral:rRNA from 1 species